CAGUGGUGUGAGUGGUCCUUUGACUUGUGGUGCCAUUGGCUAUUCGCAGUGAGGCUACUGGGUUUGACUGCACGUUCUCUUGGUCCCUAGCCAUUCGGGUGCUUACUGUGUAUGUUGGCUUCAGUAGGUUCAGGUUUGCUAUUUGGAGUAGGAUGCACUUAGAUGGAAUCUAUCAACCUUGAUAGAAAAAGAAAAUUCUAUGCGAUUUAUGAGAUUGAGUU
rnacentral:lncRNA from 1 species